rnacentral:rRNA from 1 species
GAUGAACGCUGGCGGCAUGCCUAACACAUGCAAGUCGAACGAGACCUUCGGGUCUAGUGGCGCACGGGUGCGUAACGCGUGGGAAUCUGCCCUUUGCUACGGAAUAACUCGAGGAAACUCGUGCUAAUACCGUAUGAUGUCGCAAGACCAAAGAUUUAUCGGCAAGGGAUGAGCCCGCGCAGGAUUAGCUAGUUGGUGAGGUAAAGGCUCACCAAGGCGACGAUCCUUAGCUGGUCUGAGAGGGAUGAUCAGCCACACUGGGACUGAGACACGGCCCAGACUCCUACGGGAGGCAGCAGUGGGGAAUAUUGGACAAUGGGCGAAAGCCUGAUCCAGCAAUGCCGCGUGAGUGA